rnacentral:rRNA from 1 species
UACAGGGGGGGCAAGCGUUGUUCGGAAUUACUGGGCGUAAAGGGUUUGUAGGUGGCUUGCUAAGUCAGACGUGAAAUCCCUCAGCUUAACCGGGGAACUGCAUCUGAUACUGGAUGGCUUGAGAUUGGGAGAGGGAUGCGGAAUUCCAGGUGUAGCGGUGAAAUGCGUAGAUAUCUGGAGGAACACCGGUGGCGAAGGCGGCAUCCUGGACCAACACUGACGCUGAGGAGCGAAAGCUAGGGGAGCGAACGGG